rnacentral:rRNA from 1 species
AGAGUUUGAUCCUGGCUCAGAACGAACGCUGGCGGCGUGGAUAAGACAUGCAAGUCGAGCGCUGAUUACAGGGUAGCAAUAUUCUGUAGUCGGAGCGGCGCAAGGGUGCGUAACACGUGGGUAAUCUGCCAUGAAGUUUGGAAUAACUCGCUGAAAGGCGAGCUAAUGCCGGAUGUGAAAGCUGGGAGGCAUCUCUCGGUUUUCAAAGCUGGGGACCGUAAGGCCUGGCGCUUCAUGAUGAGCCCGCGGCCUAUCAGCUAGUUGGUGAGGUAACGGCUCACCAAGGCUAAGACGGGUAGCUGGUCUGAGAGGACGACCAGCCACACUGGAACUGAGACACGGUCCAGACACCUACGGGUGGCAGCAGUCGAGAAUUUUUCACAAUGGGCGCAAGCCUGAUGGAGCGACGCCGCGUGGGGGAUGAAUGGCUUCGGCCCGUAAACCCCUGUCAUUUGCGAUCAACCGUUGUUAUUUAAAAGAUGACAGCCUGAUAGUAGCGAAAGAGGAAGGGACGGCUAACUCUGUGCCAGCAGCCGCGGUAAUACAGAGGUCCCAAGCGUUGUUCGGAUUCACUGGGCGUAAAGGGUGCGUAGGUGGCGGAGUAAGUCGGAUGUGAAAUCUCCGAGCUCAACUCGGAAAUGGCAUUGGAAACUGCUCUGCUCGAGGGUUGGAGGGGGGACUGGAAUACUUGGUGUAGCAGUGAAAUGCGUAGAUAUCAAGUGGAACACCAGUGGCGAAGGCGAGUCCCUGGACAACUCCUGACACUGAGGCACGAAAGCUAGGGGAGCAAACAGGAUUAG